rnacentral:rRNA from 1 species
GACGAACGCUGGCGGCGUGCUUAACACAUGCAAGUCGAACGGUAAGGCCCUUCGGGGUACACGAGUGGCGAACGGGUGAGUAACACGUGGGUGAUCUGCCCUGCACUUCGGGAUAAGCCUGGGAAACUGGGUCUAAUACCGGAUAGGACUCCGGACUGCAUGGUCUGGGGUGGAAAGCUUUUGCGGUGUGGGAUGGGCCCGCGGCCUAUCAGCUUGUUGGUGGGGUGAUGGCCUACCAAGGCGACGACGGGUAGCCGGCCUGAGAGGGUAACCGGCCACACUGGGAAUGAGAUACGGCCCAGACUCCUACGGGAGGCAGCAGUGGGGAAUAUUGCACAAUGGGCGCAAGCCUGAUGCAGCGACGCCGCGUGAGGGAUGACGGCCUUCGGGUUGUAAACCUCUUUCAGCAUCGACGAAGCGAAAGUGACGGUAGGUGCAGAAGAAGGACCGGCCAACUACGUGCCAGCCGCCGCAGUAA